rnacentral:RNase_P_RNA from 1 species
GCGGAGGGCAGCUCAUGGGUGGGGCUGUGAGCUGAGUGCACCUUGUGACUCUAUCCCAUGUCCCCUUGGGAAGGUCUGAGAUUAGGACCAAAAAUAUAUAUAUAUUUAUUUUUAAAAAAGCAAAACACACACACACACAAAAAACCCCUGAAGUCGUCUGGCCCCAUCCCCGUUGUUCCUGACCACGCUCACCUGGGACUGGGCCCAGGAAUCCGAGGGUCUGACUCGCACACACGGGGAUGCUCAUGGGACGGCUCCCACGCCGGGCCCCGCGGUCGG